GAUACAACAACAACAACAACAACAACAACAAACCCAGUGUAUUCCCACCUAGUGGGGUCUGGGGGGGUAAGAUGUACGCAGUCCAUACCUCUACCUCUGAUGAAGUAGAAAGACUGUUUCCGAUAGACCCCCGGCUCAAGACACGAGAUACCACACAAACACAUAGUAAAGCACAGAAGCAGAUUACAUAUCAUAAAUACGACACCCAUAAGUAAUAUAAAACAGAG
rnacentral:lncRNA from 1 species